rnacentral:misc_RNA from 1 species
GGUGGGCGACGGCAUAAAAACAUCGUAUAUAAUAUAAUUUUGUUUUUUCGAAAAAUCGAUAGCUUCAAGUUGCAGCUUGCAGGAGACAUCGAUCUCUCCACCGUCCCCGUGGGAAAAUUUAUUGAAGAGAAGAUCUUUGAGAGACAAAGGGAGAGAGGGAUGAGUUCAAUCUCAAUAACCAGAUCGUUGCGUUUGCGUUCCUUAAUAUUAUUUUUCGCCUCAAUUUCUCUGCAAUUCAUUUCAGGCAUUUCUGGUGAUCCAUCUAGUUCCAAAAAUGGCACAAAGGCCAAUGCCCAUACUUCUGGUAGCAAUACUGGGAGAAAGAUUGUCAUCAUACUUCUUGUGUUUGUGGCAGUAGGGUUGUUUUCAUUUUUCCUUUUCAAAUUUUGGCAAAAGAAGAAAAGAGAAGAGCAGUAUGCUCGUCUUCUGAAGUUGUUUGAAGAGGAUGAUGAGCUUGAGGUUGAACUUGGGCUGCGGGAUUGAUGCUUUAAUGUUGAAAAUUACAUUCAUUGUAGUUUGAGGUGCGAUUAUUAAUUUUAUGCGUUUGGUUCCCGUUUGUGAGAUUUUAUAGUUUCUUUGUUAAUAUGCUUUAGGCAUAAAGUUUGUUUAUGGAUUGAUGCUUAAACUGUUGAAUUAAAUUAGUAAAACUAAAAUGCAUGUGUGGAGGGAGCUUGCACUUUUGGGUUUGGUGAAGACGUGGCCUAGUCUUCUAGUCACUCAAAGUUGCAGUCCAUGCACGUCAAAAAGUCUGAUGGUCUUCAAAUUGUUUCAUGAAUUAAUCUGUGCAUGCGAUCAUGUCCCUUUUUUUUAUAUUUUUAUCUUUUCCUUUUUUUACCCAUAUAGCAUUAAUUGUUGAACAUGGAUGAACAAAAUGAAAGUAUAAAUACGUGGGAGAGGAAGCUUAUGCUUAAUAACAUUAUUAGUGGUUGCUAGCAAUAUGUAUGAAUGUCCAAUCCGUCUCUUCCUCAUAUUUGCUCCAUGUCUAUCUAUCUUCCCAUUAGAUCUGAGUUCCAGGAUUUAUCCAUCGAUCACUUUUCCCCUACAACAUCCAGCCCCUGACUCCUUUAUCCAUUGUCUUUUCGCACAGAAGCCUGAUGGCUUCUGGAAUUUUUCUUCUCUCCCUUUUACUUGUUUAAUGUUCUAAUAGACAUAUCUGGUUUUAUUUGUUAAGAUUUUCUUCUUUUUUGUUUUGUCUUUUUGUUAAGGAAUUGGUAAAAUGUACUGUGAACAAGCUUUCUCACCAAAAAAAAUAUUCUUUCCUGUACUUCUAUGAAUAGUGAGUGUAUAUUCAAUCACUAAGGUCCUUGCGAUGUCAGCAUAACAAUUUUUGCACAUUUUGUAUUAAUAUCUAUCAUUUUGCUCCAUUCCUACGGCCCAACAUGGAAGAAAGAAUAAGGAGACAAAUGAGUAUUUUGUUGUUAUCAAUGAUCACAUGUAAUGAAGCUUCUGCUAAAUACAAGCUAUUCUAUUUUGUGAUUCAAAUUUAUAAGAGGUUACUUCUUUCCUUGUUAUCCUACAUUUAAACUUUUUUGGCAUUCCAUUCUAGCAAGAGCUGUUGAAUACUUGAUUUAGUGAUGGUAUUUUAACUCUGUGGCUACCAAUGGUUUCCAUUUUUGUCUUUGAUGUGCAGGCUAAAAUGGAAUUAUUACUAGGAAAACUCCUUCCCCUGAGGGCCAUGAUUGGGAUUUGGGGAUGUCCCACUUUGAGGUUAGAUGUUUCUCAAUUACAUAGUGUAAUAUCUGUAAUCAAUUUUCAAAAUUAGAACUUGUAAUUGAUAUCGAUUCUUUAGAGUAUCUAGAGAAGAGAAGGAUACUAUCUUGUAUAAGAUGUAUGAGGGGUCUGAGCUCCAGAUUGUAAAAAUGAAAUCUUUAUUCUGAUAGACAUUGAAGUUGUAUAAGAAUUAAGAGUUUUGACUGAGGAUUCUUGAAUAGCAGUAUACGUUUCUUAUUACUGGAAAGGACAAGUGAUGCAACUCUCACCCUGAGUUUUGGAGGUCAGGUUCACGAUUUCGGUAUCUGCUAUAUUAUAUUUGAAGCAAUAUUUUCUACCAGUGUGAGUUUGUGGGCACACCCUUGAUCUUUUUCUUGUUUAGUGCAGGA